UGCCGACUUAGUUUAAUGGCAAAACGGUGGUCUCGUAAUCCACUGAUAAGAGUUCGAUUCUCUUAGUCGGCAU
rnacentral:tRNA from 1 species